GCGGCGUGCUUAACACAUGCAAGUCGAGCGGUAAGGCCCCUUCGGGGGUACACGAGCGGCGAACGGGUGAGUAACACGUGAGUAAUCUGCCCUUCACUUCGGGAUAACCACCGGAAACGGUGGCUAAUACCGGAUACGACCAGUCCUUGCAUGAGGUGCUGGUGGAAAGUCUUUUCGGUGGAGGAUGUGCUCGCGGCCUAUCAGCUUGUUGGUGGGGUAAUGGCCUACCAAGGCUUCGACGGGUAGCCGGCCUGAGAGGGUGACCGGCCACACUGGGACUGAGACACGGCCCAGACUCCUACGGGAGGCAGCAGUGGGGAAUAUUGGACAAUGGGCGAAAGCCUGAUCCAGCAACGCCGCGUGAGGGAUGACGGCCUUCGGGUUGUAAACCUCUUUCAGUAUCGACGAAGCGCCCUGUCGGGUGGUGACGGUAGAUACAGAAGAAGGACCGGCCAACUACGUGCCAGCAGCCGCGGUAAUACGUAGGGUCCGAGCGUUGUCCGGAAUUAUUGGGCGUAAAGGGCUCGUAGGCGGUUUGUCACGUCGGGAGUGAAAUCUUACAGCUUAACUGUGAACUUGCUUUCGAUACGGGCAGACUUGAGGCAUUCAGGGGAGAACGGAAUUCCUGGUGUAGCGGUGAAAUACGCAGAUAUCAGGAGGAACACCGGUGGCGAAGGCGGUUCUCUGGGAAUGUUCUGACGCUGAGGAGCGAAAGUGUGGGGAGCGAACAGG
rnacentral:rRNA from 1 species